rnacentral:rRNA from 1 species
CCUACGGGGGGCAGCAGUGGGGAAUAUUGCACAAUGGGGGAAACCCUGAUGCAGCGACGCCGCGUGAGUGAAGAAGUAAUUCGUUAUGUAAAGCUCUAUCAGCAGGGAAGAAAAUGACGGUACCUGAGUAAGAAGCCCCGGCUAACUACGUGCCAGCAGCCGCGGUAAUACGUAGGGGGCAAGCGUUAUCCGGAUUUACUGGGUGUAAAGGGAGCGUAGACGGCAGUGCAAGUCUGGAGUGAAAGGCGGGGGCUCAACCCCCGGACUGCUCUGGAAACUGUACGGCUGGAGUGCAGGAGAGGUAAGUGGAAGUCCGAGUGUAGCGGUGAAAUGCGGAGAGAGUAGGAGGAACACCAGUGGAGAAGGCGGCUGACUGGACUGUAACUGACGUGGAGGCUCGAAAGCGUGGGGAGCAAACAGGAGUAGAGACCCUAGUAGUC